rnacentral:rRNA from 1 species
AGUGAUCGCUGGCGGCGUGCUUAACACAUGCAAGUCGAGCGAAUUUCUGCAGCGUAUCGCAGAGGUUAGCGGCAGACGGGUGAGUAAUACUUGGGCAAUCUGCCCUUGAGUGGGAAACAACCUGCCGAAAGGUGGGCUAAUGUCCCAUAAGACCACAGAACGACAUCGUUCGGAGGUCAAAGCUCCGCAAGGGGCGCUUGAGGAGGAGCCUGAGGCCUAUCACGGUAGUUGGUGCGGUAACGGCGCACCAAGCCUAUGACGGGUAGCCGACCUGAAAGGGUGACCGGCCACACUGGCACUGAGACACGGGCCAGACUCCUACGGGAGGCAGCAGUGGGGAAUUUUGGUCAAUGGACGCAAGUCUGAACCAGCCAUGCCGCGUGAAGGAUGAAGGUCCUCUGGAUU